GUGAGUAACACGUAGGUAAUCUGCCGUAGAGUGGGGGAUAACCCAUGGAAACAUGGACUAAUACCGCAUAUACUCUUGACGCUAAAGCGUAGUAGAGGAAAGGAGUAAUCCGCUUUACGAUGAGCCUGCGGCCUAUUAGCCUGUUGGUGAGAUAAAAGCCCACCAAAGCUACGAUAGGUAGCCGACCUGARAGGGUGACCGGCCACAUUGGGACUGAGAUACGGCCCAGACUCCUACGGGAGGCAGCAGCUGAGAAUCUUCCACAAUGGACGAAAGUCUGAUGGAGCGACAUCGCGUGAGGGAUGAAUGCCUUCGGGUUGUAAACCUCGGAAAUUAUCGAAGAAUGAGUGACAGUAGAUAAUGUAAGCCUCGGCUAACUACGUGCCAGCAGCCGCGGUAAUACGUAGGAGGCAAACGUUGCUCGGAUUUACUGGGCGUAAAGGGUGAGUAGGCGGAACUAUAAGUCUAAGGUGAAAUAUCGAAGCUCAACUUCGGAGACGCCUCGGAUACUGUGGUU
rnacentral:rRNA from 1 species